UACGAAGGGGGGCUAGCGUUGCUCGGAAUCACUGGGCGUAAAGCGCACGUAGGCGGCUUUUUAAGUCAGAGGUGAAAAUCCUGGAGCUCAACUCCAGAACUGCCUUUGAUACUGGAGAGCUUGAGUCCGGGAGAGGUGAGUGGAACUGCGAGUGUAGAGGUGAAAUUCGUAGAUAUUCGCAAAGAACACCAGUGGCGAAGGCGG
rnacentral:rRNA from 1 species